rnacentral:rRNA from 1 species
UCCGUAGGUGGCAAGCGUUGUCCGGAUUUAUUGGGUUUAAAGGGUGCGUAGGCGGCCUUGUAAGUCAGUGCUGAAAUAUCCCGGCUUAACCGGGAGGGUGGCAUUGAUACUGCAGGGCUUGAGUAAAGUUGAGGUUGGCGGAAUUGACGGUGUAGCGGUGAAAUGCUUAGAUAUCGUCAAGAACACCGAUAGUGAAGACAGCUAACUAAGCUUUAACUGACGCUGAGGCGCGAAAGCGUGGGGAGCAAACAGG